rnacentral:rRNA from 1 species
UACGUAGGGUGCGAACGUUGUCCGGAAUUAUUGGGCGUAAAGAGCUUGUAGGCGGUUUGUCGCGUCUGCUGUGAAAUCUCAAGGCUCAACCUUGAGCUUGCAGUGGGUACGGGCAGACUAGAGUGCGGUAGGGGAGACUGGAAUUCCUGGUGUAGCGGUGAAAUGCGCAGAUAUCAGGAGGAACACCGGUGGGCGAAGGCGGGGUCUCUGGGCCCGUAACUGACGCUGGAGGAGCGAAAGCGUGGGGAGCGAACAGG